rnacentral:rRNA from 1 species
AGUGAACGCUGGCGGUGGGCCUAACACAUGCAAGUCGAACGGCAGCACAGUAAGAGCUUGCUCUUACGGGUGGCGAGUGGCGGACGGGUGAGGAAUACAUCGGAAUCUACUUUUUCGUGGGGGAUAACGUAGGGAAACUUACGCUAAUACCGCAUACGACCUACGGGUGAAAGCAGGGGAUCUUCGGACCUUGCGCGAUUGAAUGAGCCGAUGUCGGAUUAGCUAGUUGGCGGGGUAAAGGCCCACCAAGGCGACGAUCCGUAGUUGGUCUGAGAGGAUGAUCAGCCACACUGGAACUGAGACACGGUCCAGACUCCUACGGGAGGCAGCAGUGGGGAAUAUUGGACAAUGGGCGCAAGCCUGAUCCAGCCAUACCGCGUGGGUGAAGAAGGCCUUCGGGUUGUAAAGCCCUUUUGUUGGGAAAGAAAAGCAGCAGGUUAAUACCCCGCUGUUCUGACGGUACCCAAAGAAUAAGCACCGGCUAACUUCGUG